rnacentral:lncRNA from 1 species
AGCUCAGCGCCGCUCCUGGGGGCCAGAGAACCCGCAGGGAGCGCGACCCCUGUGUGUGCUGUGCCUUGGCGACUGUCCGGGGGACGGCAGGCGACCGCAGGGCGAGGAGCUGCCCGCCAGGGGGUGGACCGAAUCUGGACGCCCAGUGUACUCCUGGCUGUCGAUGCACGCAAGACCUGAAGUCAACCUGCCCAUUUUCCUGGUGGUGGCCUCGGUGGGAAGUCCAGGUAGAAGCGAAGAGAUGGCCCCUUCACAGGAGGGAGCAGCCCGGCACCGCAGGACCCGAGACUCUGCCAAGGAGCCCGCAAGUUCUUCAUCUGUCCCGCUUGUCUCAGGCGCCAAAGAGGACCCAGAGAACAUCUUGCCACCCCGACGCCCUUCUAGUGCGAGGUGAUUGUGAGCUGCUUUGUGCAACUUUCCCAACGCUCUUGUCUAUUCCCCUGCUAAUUGACAGUGCCCGUCAGAAACGAGCAGAGACUUGGGGAGGGGUAUCUGUGAAGUCUGUGAGAGAUGAUCGGAUGAACAUCCCUGGACGUCUCUUCCAAGCAAGAUUUCUUUCAGGAACCUUUUGUGAAGCAUUGCUUCGCACUUUUUACGUCCUUUAUCUCUUCCGUCAUUGCUUUUCUUUCUUCCUUUAACAUUUUCCUAAGUAGCAAAAACAGCUCUGCCCCUGCGAGAUUGACACAGUGGAGUUUGGAGUGGGAAGAGAGAUCAAUAAGAAAAAGAAUUCCUCUCCAAAUACAGAGUAAAGUAAGAAAGAGCAAAUGUACUCUUCCUCCUAAUAAAGGCGCUUAUAAUAACA